rnacentral:rRNA from 1 species
GAUGAACGCUGGCGGCGUGCCUAAUACAUGCAAGUCGAGCGAACAGACGAGGAGCUUGCUCCUCUGACGUUAGCGGCGGACGGGUGAGUAACACGUGGAUAACCUACCUAUAAGACUGGGAUAACUUCGGGAAACCGGAGCUAAUACCAGAUAAUAUAUUGAACCGCAUGGUUCAAUAGUGAAAGACGGUUUUGCUGUCACUUAUAGAUGGAUCCGCGCCGCAUUAGCUAGUUGGUAAGGUAACGGCUUACCAAGGCAACGAUGCGUAGCCGACCUGAGAGGGUGAUCGGCCACACUGGAACUGAGACACGGUCCAGACUCCUACGGGAGGCAGCAGUAGGGAAUCUUCCGCAAUGGGCGAAAGCCUGACGGAGCAACGCCGCGUGAGUGAUGAAGGUCUUCGGGUCGUAAAACUCUGUUAUUAGGGAAGAACAAAUGUGUAAGUAACUAUGCACGUCUUGACGGUACCUAAUCAGAAAGCCACGGCUAACUACGUG